GGUGCUGUGCCAGAUUAAUUGGGCUAUCUUGAUGAGAUAGACUAUGGGAUUAAUAUCUCCAGCACUU
rnacentral:tRNA from 2 species